GAAAUUUGGUGGAUUUCAAGUAAUCAAGCAAUCAAAUGUGGUGAGUCCUCCGACAAGGGAAAGGAAAUUGUACCCGAGGAUUGAUAAUCGGGGUACUUUAGAAAUUCGACUCCUGAAAUAGCUCAGAAUAGAUUGUAAAUAACUGAUAUCGGCGAGGACUAUAGUUGGACUUGCCACAUUCAAAAACUGUAGGUUCAUUUCUUUUGAUACUUUUAAUCAUUCAUGGGCCCACGUGUCAUUGUAAAUUAAAUUUUGU